GCAUGAGCUGAAUAUAUCGUGUACUUGAGAUUAUUUACCCACACACAGGAGUGAUAUGACAGAUCUUGAAAUCUAUAUACUUUAUAGCUUACCACUUGGUGUCCUUUGACUUUGUUGUUGUGUGGUUUUCGCCCGAGCAGCCGUUUACUAGUGGCUUGUUUUGCUCCGUGGAAGCCAUAAGUGAUUGUGAAAAUAUCACAGGAAGUUUUAAAAUCAAAGUGCUUUUACUUUAAACAACAUCGUGCAGGAACAAGGAAGGCAGGAAGCUCAAGAUAUUUUUAUUUUUAUACACGUCUUCAAAACAUU